GUGUCAGCAGCCGCGGUAAGACGAACCGUGCGAACGUUAUUCGGAAUCACUGGGCUUAAAGCGCGUGUAGGCGGGACGGCACGUCGGUCGUUGAAAUCCCCCGGCUCAACCGGGGAACCGGCGCCGAUACGACCGUCCUGGAGGGACGUAGGGGGACCUGGAACUUCCGGUGGAGCGGUGAAAUGCGUUGAGAUCGGAAGGAACGCCCGUGGCGAAAGCGAGGUCCUGGACGUUUUCUGACGCUGAGACGCGAAAGCCAGGGGAGCGAACGGGAUUAGAAACCCCAGUAGUCC
rnacentral:rRNA from 1 species